ACACCGGCUUCAGCGCCCGAGCGUGCGCGCGCGUCUCCGCUCGUCGCCCGGCUCGGCGUCGGGAGUGCACUCUGUGUGGCCGCUGCUGCAGUGUUGUUGUGGUUGUGAGAAGGCGGCGGCGGCGGCGGAGUAGCAGCCGGACCAGACGCCCUAGUAGCUCAGUCGCUGCCCUGCGCCGGGCCUGGCAGGGAGCCUGGUGAGAUGGUGGAGGAGGAGGCUGUGCCGUGGCGGGCCUUGCCAUGUCCUGCUGCCUGAUGGAGUCUUGCUCUGCUGCCUAGGCUGGUGUGGAAUGGCACAAUCUCAGCUCACUGUGACCUCAGCUUCCCAGAUUCAAGCGAUUCUCCCCCCUCAGCCUCCCAAUCCCCCACUCCCACCCCUGCGAGUAGCUGGGAUUACAGGCACCCGCCAUCAUGCCUGGCUAAUUUUUGUAUUUUUGUAGAGACGAGGUUUCACCAUGUUGGCCAGGCUGGUCUUGAACUGACCUCAGGUGAUCCACCCACCUUGGCCUCCCAAGUGGUGAAAUAACAGGUGUGAGCCACCGCUCCCCAACUCAACCCAAAUUUUUAAAAUGGGCGGAGUAUUUGAACAGGUUCCUCAACAAAGAAGAUACAUGUGGCAAAUAAGCGCACAAAUGAAUGCUCCACACCACUAGUAAUUAAGGGAAUUCAAUUACUACUUACUGGAGGCUAAGAGACCAGUUAGGGGGUUACGGGAGAAAUUGUGAAUUAAAAUUAUGUAUGAUAGUAGCGGUGGGGAUGGAGAGGAGAGGAUAUGAGGAAUAUUGAGGAGAUAAAAUUGCAAAAGCUUCACACUUGGUUGGAAGUGGAAGCUGACAUGUAAGAGAAUCAGCAAUGAUUCUCAGGUUUCCAACUUGAGCAAAGGGGCGGAGGCCACUGAUAGACUCUGAGGUCAUAAAACACAAGGUGGAGCAGAUCUAGGCGGGUAUGGAGGAAGAGAUGUGACCAUUGAAGUAUUUUCUUUGUUGUUGUGUUGUUGGAAUAUUUCAAGUCAAAUCCCUGACAUCAUGUUGUUCCAUCUCUACACAUUUGAACAUGUAUCACUAAAAGUAGGGACACUUUCUCCCAUAAUCACAUUGCUGUGAUCGCUCCUGAAGAUGUACUCAAUGAUUCUGAUUAUCAUCCCAUACAUAGUCCACAGUCAUACAUACUUGAUUAUCACAAGUAUUUCUCUUUUUGCAGUCUGUCUAUUGGAAUCAGAAUCCUGACAAGGUCCACCCUGCACACCACUUUCUCACAAAGGUCCUCUCAUCCUGAGCAGUCCUCCCUGCCACUGAUUUGUUGUCCUUCAUAAUGUCCCACAAUCUGCACCUGUCUUUGUUCUCCCUCAUGAUACUGCUUCACUUCUAUGCCCUGAAUUUCCUAUAAUGGGGAAGGAGCUCUAAAGCCUGGUUGUAGGAACACUUCAUGAACAGUACUGUGCAUGGCACACAAUCUCUAGCCAUCCCACUUGUCACGCUAAAAUCGAUGACUCGCUUCUGGUAGUGUCAGCCUGACUCUUUGGACAUGCUGAGUAAGCAGAGCGAGAAAGGAAGAGGGCUUCGACCAGAGGAAGAGGAGCAGAGAAAACAGGGAAGGAGAAUUCAGGGAAGUGGGGAAAAUCGAGGGAGCAGCAGCGUGGGGACUGAAGAAAGAAGGGUCAGGUGUCGCUGGGCAGCCAAGAAGAGACAAACAGGUCAGAUGGUUUUCACAACUGAUGGCUGAUAACUUGUAUGAGAGCAGCUUUAAUGGAGUGAUUAAGGUGUAAGUCAGAUUGCCCUGUGAUGGAGGUGUGAAUAGGGGUGGGAAGUGGAGGGCAAGGAAUAUCAAUAACAAUUUCAGGAAUUUGGCUGUAAGACAAGGGAAAAAGAUGGGAGACGUGAGCAUAGGAAGAGGGAUGUUGAAAAAAGAGGUUGUGUUUAUUCUGUGGCUCUUUUGAUGGGAGACACAUUCAUGCUGGGAGGUUGAAUAUUUAGGAACCAUAAGGAACUAUUACUAACAAAGAAAGUUCCAAAAACAUUCCUGGUUGGAAGGUUUCACUGUUUUGUUCACUAAUUUCAUAUAUUUUUCUAACUCUCUACAAUUGCUUUUUGUUGUGAGCUCAACUGGUCUAGGAGACACAGAUUUUGAAACGUGAUGAAAUUAUUCAAUAAAGCUGGUGUUAGAUGC
ensembl:lncRNA novel transcript